rnacentral:misc_RNA from 1 species
AAGUCGUAACAAGGUAACCGUAGGUGAACCUGCGGUUGGAUCAUUACCGAAUCAUUUUGUGGGGUUACUGGUUAUCCGUUACUUCUCGUAACGUGAAUCAUGCCUCACAAAUAAACCUUUUGUGCAUUAUUGAUGUUUUUUGGGUCGCUUUUUUCGAAGAGGCCCAGCAUUUUUAACAAACCAAUAUCAAUUUGUCUUAUAUCUCUAUAAAAAUAGAAACAACUUUUGACAACGGAUCUCUUGGCUCUC